rnacentral:rRNA from 1 species
AUUGAACGCUGGCGGCAUGCCUAACACAUGCAAGUCGAACGAGUGGCGGACGGGUGAGUAAUGUCUGAGAAACUGCCUGAUCGAGGGGGCUAACUACUGGCAAACGUCGCUAAUACCGCCUACCAUCAGUUUUGCCCAGAUGGGAUUAGCUAGUUGGUGGGGUAACGGCUCACCAAGGCGACGAUCCCUAGCUGGUCUGAGAGGGUGACCAGCCACACUGGAACUGAGACACGGUCCAGACUCCUACGGGAGGCAGCAGUGGGGAAUAUUGCACAAUGGGCGAAAGCCUGAUGGAGCCAUGCCGCGUGAGUGAAGAAGGCCUUCGGGUUGUAAAGUACUUUUAUCGGGGAAGCGUUACCCGCACAAGAAGCACCGGCUAACUCCGUGCCAGCCGCCGCGGGAAUAC